UUGUUGGGAUGACAUUCCUUACUUGGU
rnacentral:piRNA from 1 species